UCGAGCAAAAUGUACAAUUAUUGGUCAGAAAAUGUCGGUCAAAUUUCUAAAUAAUUAUGGCGUACGAAUAAUGAUAUAUCCGUAAAUCGUAUUUUACCGAUUUAAAGAUGUUCAUUAUUCAUUGUAUUGUCACGCCCCCCUCGGGAGAAUGCAGCGGCAGCAGCCACACCUGAGUUACGUCAACUCCCUGUUUAGUUCUGCUUGGCGCUGCAUUAUAUGCAAGGUACUGUUGAGGGUUUUCAUAAGAAGUACAGGGCGGUCUUCCUCCUGUCUACCCCGAUCCGGUCCAUCUGCCUGCUUUGCUGCCAUCCCAUCCCAUCCCAUCCUGAUCCACCCGGACCUCUCCCUUGUACUUGUCCUGCGUCUCGCAUGCCACCUGUAGAACUGGCUUUUGGACUCGAUUGUACUUGCUGAUUCCAGUCCUGUUUGCGUGUUCCCAACAAUAAACCCCGUACAGUACGUUGCCUUCUGUGUCUCUACCAUCCUCCGGGGUUGCAUGUUGUGCAAUACUGUAGUAGCUUGGAUUCAACCAUUAGAUGGCAGUAGUAGCAUAUAGUUGGAGGGAAGUAGAAGAAGGCAAGAGAGGGAAGUUGAGUGUUUGUGCGUUGUUCCCGGAGCUGAUAAGUUAAUAAAUAUUGAACCUCUUGCCAUCCCCAAAUGUGUCUCGGCUGACUCUCAAUAUAUCAAAAGUACAUACCGUCUAUUUAUUUAUGUCUGCCCUUCAAACCGCUAGAUUCCUUCACUAAGCAGGAAGUUUGUCACGACAGCUGACACCAAAUCUCCUGCUGAGCUGGUUCAGACAGAACUAUCCUCAAUUCACCACGAGGGGGCGCCAACGCAGCAGCUUAGUUCUAUUGUUUCGCUUUUUCAAAGACAGUUUUUCUCUUCACAAAAGGACAACUUAACUGAAUAAUGCACUUUCAUAGUAAUUGUUUUUAAUCCGUGUUAAUGUUCUGAACAAUGACUACUAAAGGUUCUGUAAGGUUGUCCCACAUACUAUGGAUUUUAAGUUUUUUAUCAAGGUGUUAAAACGUACCAUCUAUUUUCUGCUGAAAGUUGCCAGUCCUGUGUUUUAUGUCUAGCAAUUUGUACAGUUUCUUCAGUAUGGCACAUAAACACAUGCCAUCAUCUACAGUAUGAGAAUCUCCUCCAGAACUCUGCAUUUCCUCAAGAUUUUUUUGUAAUAUUACAUAGGUGCAUCUCAUGAACCUUAAUUUGCCAAGCAUGUAUUGACUGGGCACAGUACAGUGGUGCAAUUUCUGACAAUGAAAGAACAUCAUGGACCCCUACUCCCCAUUCCUUAACCCGAUCGAGGGGCUCUGCUCAGCAUGGAGUUAGAAGGCUUACGAUCGCUAGCCACAUGCUCAGAUGGCCCUGCUGGCUGACAUGAAUGCAGCAUGUGAGGACAUUACAGCAGAUGCCUGCAGAGGCAGACACUUCACUGGCUGUGGAUGUUGUUCAGCCCAGCUACCUGAUGAGGGUCCAGCAUGGAGACAGUGUGACCCUGACAUGCUUCCGUCCAGAAGAUAUUUCUUUUGCAGUUUGGUUUUAGCAAGCUGCUGGUCAGAAGCCCCAGCUCAUCGCGAAAGCACUUCUCUACGUACCUGGCGGAACCCACCGAAUAGCCCGUCUCGAUCACGCCCACAUGGGCGGGACCAGCCAGGUGCUCCGUAGAACGCUUAAUGACGGAAUGGAUUUAAGCACUGAGCUCCAUCGGGACAUUGCGAAGUAUUGAGCCAUGCUAUUGAGCCAUACCGAGCAAUCUAUUGUCUAUCGUCUACCCGUUGCUUCCUACCUGUUCCGUCCGCCCAGUGUACUUACCUUGUCUGUUCCUCUUCCUCUUCCCAGACCCGUUCCCGAACCUGAACCUCUUGCCCCGCUGAGACCGGCUUCUCCUGGUACUCUUUCCCUGUGUUGUCGUGUCCCGUGUUUGUUCCUCUUUCGGCUUCGGACACAUGCUUCUGCCCCUCGACCAUUCUCCUCGCUUAGCCCCUUUCAUUGCUACGUACUAGUGCUGCCAAUAAAACUUCUGGCUGCGUGCAAAUCUAGAUCUCCGUUCCACUUCUUGGGCCAGUGUUACAGUUAUAAUAUAAUCUUUGUUAUCAUAUAAUGUUAUCAAUGUAUAUUAAAGCUGUUAAGGUAUGUUAGGAUAUUAAGGUAUACGAAUUACAUGGUGAUUAUGAAUGUUAUAUGAAUGCAUUGUAAAUGUAUAAUGUAGGUGCAGUUAAUGUAAAGUGUUACUGAAUAUAUACUAAUAAAUAGUUAUACAACAAAAAGAGACAAGAAUGUCAACUAUUCUCCAAGAAGUUACUUAUUUUAUGGAUGGAUAGAACAACAUGACAUCCAUUCCAAAAUAUUUCUAAAAUCGGCAAGAAAUAUUUUUCAGGAUCUGUGUUUUCCAUUGUGACUCUCAAAGCGCUGUCAUCAUCAACAUUUUGCUUUUCAGGUAAAGACUCCAACAGCAAGACUGUGGUACAGCAGCCUGUGUCUGACACUGUGUCUGACACAGACUCUGUGAGUCUGCAGUGUACGAUAGAGACUGGGAGCUGUGCAGGAGAACACAGUGUUUACUGGUUCAGACAUUGUUAGAGUGUAUCUGUGUAUUUUAUCAUAUUAUUAUCCUCCUAUAUGUGUACGUGCAACCCUUAACAACUAACCCAUGGCCCAGAAAGGGUUGCAGACAAGAUGUCCUCACAGGGGCCUACCAGAUUGUGACGCAGGAAUAAGAGACCUUGAGAAAGGAAACAGAUUCUGUCAACAUAGCAGGGGGCCCACCUUGAGAUAUGUAAUGCUUUGUAUUAACCCUGUUUCACGGAGGCCUCACACAGCAUUGACUAGUUUAAAGACAAGACCCAUGUAACCCCUCCCCUACCCUAUAAAUAAAGAAGCCAAGGGACUGUCCGGUGUGACACUCAACAGAGGCGCAGAUACUGUCUGUUGCACCUGAAGUGGGCACCCUUGCGCAAGUAAAACAGAAA